UACGUAGGAUGCAAGCGUUGUCCGGAUUUACUGGGCGUAAAGCGCGCGCAGGCGGCAGUACAAGUACCCUCUGAAAUCUCCUUGCUCAACGAGGAGGGUGGAGGGUAGACUGUGCAGCUAGAGGAGGGUAGAGGGGGGUAGAAUUGCUGGUGUAGCGGUGAAAUGCGCAGAUAUCAGGAAGAACACCUAUGGCGAAGGCAGCUCUCUGGGACGGUACUGACGCUGAGACGCGAAAGCGUGGGGAGCGAACAGG
rnacentral:rRNA from 1 species